UUUCUCAAUUUUCCCUUCCUUGCUGUCUGUGUCAGUCUUGUCUUUCAGGUCCUGUGUGUGUGUGUGUGUGUGUGUGUGUGUGUGUGGGCGUGCCCAGUCCUGGAUCCUGGCUCAUCACCACCUGCAGCUUCUUGCACCUGUGACUCAUCAACAAUCAACUCCUGCAGUGAAAUACUCUGGUUCACCUCCCGCUCUUUGCCAGUUCAUCAGUUUACCUCUUGUGUUAUUCCAGUGUCCUGAGUUGCUGCCUGCCUACUACCUGCCUGCUUGCCUGCCGCCCGCCUAACAAUCUGUCCGCCCUGAACAGCGCUUCAAAACGCCAUCGCUGGAGUCCCGCUGAGCCUGGAAUUCUCAGCCCUCUCCCCUACCCUCUGGCCUUUCCCGAGCACUUUUGUCAAUAAACCCUGCCUGUGUUCUAAUCGUC